UCGUGACUGUCACACGUUGGUCUAAGGCAUCAGAAAACACUUCGUUUCACUUAAUUUCAUGACUCGAUCUUCACUACAACCCUGUGAUUACGAUGACAAUACCGCUAUCUGGAAAUACCUAAAUGGGUCAAAUGAUUUCCCCAAGAUCUGAUCACCAGUUAGUAAUAGAGUUAGUAUUCGAUCUGAGUUUGGUUUUUUUGGUGUUUUGUUUCCUUUUUGUUUCUGGAUGCAAUGGCAAAGCUCUGUCUGCUCUAUCACACUGCCUGUCUCUAAUCCAUUUUACCUUGACCAUCCAGGUCUCGGGUGGUUCAAAGAUAGGAAGAGAGUAGGAAGAAAGAGCAAUUUCCAUUCCAAACGUCUAGAUACAGGCCCAGGAAACACUUUCAGUCCUUUUUUAUCCUGCUCCUCUCCCCAGCCCCCCUCCCCCAACAGACAGAAGCCUUUCACUAUCCUCUUGAAGAGAAGGAAUAGUUCUCAUGACAGCUGCAUAACCUGAGGUGUGGCCCAGUUCUUUUGGGAUAACAUUACUGUUAGGGGACCACAUGCCCCAGUUUCCCUGAGAGAGCCAAUAUGUAAUUACCAAUAGAACCACAAUUCACCCUCAGAUUUGCCCAUCUGGAUCACAGUUAUCCAUCACACUAAUUAUGGGUCUCAUAACCGCCAUUCCUGAGAGGUGCGGGAAAUCUUAGUAAAUUGAUUCUAACCCCAUGGAGGAAAGAUAUGCGUUGGCUCCCUGGAACCACUUAAAUCCAACCUCAGUCUCUCCAUCACUCCUGCUCGUUUUCUCUCUCAUUAUUCCCCUGCCCCUCAAGCAAACUAAUCCUAAUCCAGUCUUUCCCACCCUUCUACUGAAACGACAGUCACUCCUCCCAAAAUGUUCUCCUUGCUAUGUUCGACAUUUGACACUUUAUUUCCAUUGCCCAGACCUUCCUCUCUCCUAGCCCCUCCCCCAUGAUGGAUUAAGAAUCAAGCCAACAUCAUCCAAAAAGCCAUCCAUGAGUGACCUUCCCUCAUUCCAGUCACUCUCUUGCUAGCACCCCCGCAAUUCUCGUGGCCACUAAGUCAAUAGUAAUAUUGACUAUUGACUAU
rnacentral:lncRNA from 1 species